rnacentral:rRNA from 1 species
GAGUCUUUGGAAUACUUAGUGGCGGACGGGUGAGUAACGCGUGGGUAACCUGCCUCACACAGGGGGAUAACAGUUGGAAACGACUGUUAAUACCGCAUAAGCGCACAGUACCGCAUGGUACAGUGUGAAAAACUCCGGUGGUGUGAGAUGGACCCGCGUCUGAUUAGCUAGUUGGUGAGGUAACGGCCCACCAAGGCGACGAUCAGUAGCCGGCCUGAGAGGGUGUACGGCCACAUUGGGACUGAGACACGGCCCAAACUCCUACGGGAGGCAGCAGUGGGGAAUAUUGCACAAUGGGGGAAACCCUGAUGCAGCGACGCCGCGUGAGUGAUGAAGUAUUUCGGUAUGUAAAGCUCUAUCAGCAGGGAAGAUAAUGACGGUACCUGACUAAGAAGCACCGGCUAAAUACGUGCCAGCAGCCGCGGUAAUACGUAUGGUGCAAGCGUUAUCCGGAUUUACUGGGUGUAAAGGGUGCGUAGGUGGCGUGGCAAGUCAGAAGUGAAAACUGCGGGCUCAACCCGGAGACUGCUUUUGAAACUGUCAAGCUGGAGUGCAGGAGAGGAAAGCGGAAUUCCUAGUGUAGCGGUGAAAUGCGUAGAUAUUAGGAGGAACACCAGUGGCGAAGGCGGCUUUCUGGACUGUUAC